AUUGAACGCUGGCGGCAGGCUUAACACAUGCAAGUCGAGCGGUAGCACAGGGGAGCUUGCUCCCUGGGUGACGAGCGGCGGACGGGUGAGUAAUGUCUGGGAAACUGCCUGAUGGAGGGGGAUAACUACUGGAAACGGUAGCUAAUACCGCAUAACGUCGCAAGACCAAAGAGGGGGACCUUCUGGCCUCUUGCCAUCAGAUGUGCCCAGAUGGGAUUAGCUAGUAGGUGGGGUAAAGGCUCACCUAGGCGACGAUCCCUAGCUGGUCUGAGAGGAUGAGCAGCCACACUGGAACUGAGACACGGUCCAGACUCCUACGGGAGGCAGCAGUGGGGAAUAUUGCACAAUGGGCGCAAGCCUGAUGCAGCCAUGCCGCGUGUGUGAAGAAGGCCUUCGGGUUGUAAAGCACUUUCAGCGAGAAGGAAGGUGAUGAGCUUAAUACGCUCAUCAAUUGACGUUACUCACAGAAGAAGCACCGGCUAACUCCGUG
rnacentral:rRNA from 1 species